UACGGGGGGGAGCAAGCGUUGUCCGGAUUUACUGGGCGUAAAGCGUGCGUAGACGGUUGCGUAAGUCAGAUGUGAAAGCCCCGGGCUCAACCUGGGAAUUGCAUUUGAGACUGCGUAGCUAGGGUGCGGAAGAGGGAAGCGGAAUUUCUGGUGUAGCGGUGAAAUGCGUAGAUAUCAGAAGGAACAUCAGUGGCGAAAGCGGCUCCUGGACCAGAACUGACGAUCAGGCUCGAAAGCGUGGGGAGCAAACAGG
rnacentral:rRNA from 1 species